UACGAAGGGGGCUAGCGUUGUUCGGAUUUACUGGGCGUAAAGCGCACGUAGGCGGAUUGUUAAGUCAGGGGUGAAAUCCUGGAGCUCAACUCCAGAACUGCCUUUGAUACUGGCAAUCUUGAGUCCGGAAGAGGUGAGUGGAACUGCGAGUGUAGAGGUGAAAUUCGUAGAUAUUCGCAAGAACACCAGUGGCGAAGGCGGCUCACUGGCCCGAUACUGACGCUGAGGCACGAAAGCGUGGGGAGCAAACAGG
rnacentral:rRNA from 1 species